AGAGUUUGAUCCUGGCUCAGAAUCAACGCUGGCGGCGUGCCUAACACAUGCAAGUCGAACGCGAAAGCCCGCAAGGGUAAGUAGAGUGGCGCACGGGUGAGUAACACGUGGACAACCUGCCUUCGAGUGGGGAAUAACCUUCCGAAAGGAGGGCUAAUACCGCAUAACACCUCGGGACACAAGUUCUGGGGUUGAAAAGAGCAAUUUGCUCGAAGAGGGGUCCGCGCCCGAUUAGCUAGUUGGUGAGGUAACGGCUCACCAAGGCUUCGAUCAGUAGCCGUCCUGAGAGGGAGCACGGCCACACUGGAACUGAGACACGGUCCAGACUCCUACGGGAGGCAGCAGUGGGGAAUUUUUGGCAAUGGGCGAAAGCCUGACCAAGCAACGCCGCGUGGGUGAUGAAGUAUCUUGGUACGUAAAACCCUUUCGGCAGGGACGAAAAAAAUGACGGUACCUGCGGAAGAAGCCCCGGCUAACUCCGUGCCAGCAGCCGCGGUA
rnacentral:rRNA from 1 species